rnacentral:rRNA from 1 species
ACAACUUUUAGCAACGGAUCUGUUGGCUCUCCCAUCGAUGAAGAACGCAGCGAAAUGCGAUAAGUAAUGUGAAUUGCAGAAUUCAGUGAAUCAUCGAAUCUUUGAACGCACCUUGCGCCCUCUGGUAUUCCGGAGGGCAUGCCUGUUUGAGUGUCAUUAA